AUUGAACGCUGGCGGCAGGCCUAACACAUGCAAGUCGAACGAGUGGCGGACGGGUGAGUAAUGUCUGGGAAACUGCCUGAUGGAGGGGGAUAACUACUGGAAACGGUAGCUAAUACCGCAUACCAUCGGAUGUGCCCAGAUGGGAUUAGCUAGUAGGUGGGGUAACGGCAUACCUAGGCGACGAUCCCUAGCUGGGCUGAGAGGAUGGCCAGCCACACGGGAACACGGACACGGUCCAGACUCCUACGGUAGUCAGCAGUGGGGAAUAUUGCACAAGUGGCGCAAGCCUGAUGCAGCCAUGCCGCGUGUAUGAAGAAGGCCUUCGGGUUGUAAAGUACUUUCAGCGGGGAGGCGUUACCCGCAGAAGAAGCACCGGCUAACUCCGUGCCAGCAGCCGCGGUAAUAC
rnacentral:rRNA from 1 species